GCGUCGGUGGUGGAACAGUUUUGCACUUGCUCCCGAAAAGAGUAAGAUGUGGGUUCGAAUCCCGGCUGACGCA